CCGGGGAAAUAUUUGGCGCGUAAAGGGCUCGCAGGCGGUUUCUUAAGUCUGAUGUGAAAGCCCCCGGCUCAACCGGGGAGGGUCAUUGGAAACUGGGGAACUUGAGUGCAGAAGAGGAGAGUGGAAUUCCACGUGUAGCGGUGAAAUGCGUAGAGAUGUGGAGGAACACCAGUGGCGAAGGCGACUCUCUGGUCUGUAACUGACGCUGAGGAGCGAAAGCGUGGGGAGCGAACAGGAUUAGAUACCCUGGUAGUCCACGCCGUAAACGAUGAGUGCUAAGUGUUAGGGGGUUUCCGCCCCUUAGUGCUGCAGCUAACGCAUUAAGCACUCCGCCUGGGGAGUACGGUCGCAAGACUGAAACUCAAAGGAAUUGACGGGGGCCCGCACAAGCGGUGGAGCAUGUGGUUUAAUUCGAAGCAACGCGAAGAACCUUACCAGGUCUUGACAUCCUCUGACAAUCCUAGAGAUAGGACUUCCCCUUCGGGGGCAGAGUGACAGGUGGUGCAUGGUUGUCGUCAGCUCGUGUCGUGAGAUGUUGGGUUAAGUCCCGCAACGAGCGCAACCCUUGAUCUUAGUUGCCAGCAUUCAGUUGGGCACUCUAAGGUGACUGCCGGUGACAAACCGGAGGAAGGUGGGGAUGACGUCAAAUCAUCAUGCCCCUUAUGACCUGGGCUACACACGUGCUACAAUGGACAGAACAAAGGGCAGCGAAACCGCGAGGUUAAGCCAAUCCCACAAAUCUGUUCUCAGUUCGGAUCGCAGUCUGCAACUCGACUGCGUGAAGCUGGAAUCGCUAGUAAUCGCGGAUCACAUGCGCGGGGGGGAAAAACCUUUCCCGGGGCCUUGUACACACCGCCCGUCACACCACGAGAGUUUGUAACACCCGAAGUCGGUGAGGUAACCUUUUAGGAGCCAGCCGCCGAAGGUGGGACAGAUGAUUGGGUGAUCAAAAAGAAACCCCCCCCCAAAAAAAAAAAAAGGAGGGGGGGAC
rnacentral:rRNA from 1 species